rnacentral:rRNA from 1 species
AUUGAACGCUGGCGGCAGGCCUAACACAUGCAAGUCGAGCGGAUGAAGGGAGCUUGCUCCUGGAUUCAGCGGCGGACGGGUGAGUAAUGCCUAGGAAUCUGCCUGGUAGUGGGGGAUAACGUCCGGAAACGGGCGCUAAUACCGCAUACGUCCUGAGGGAGAAAGUGGGGGAUCUUCGGACCUCACGCUAUCAGAUGAGCCUAGGUCGGAUUAGCUAGUUGGUGGGGUAAAGGCCUACCAAGGCGACGAUCCGUAACUGGUCUGAGAGGAUGAUCAGUCACACUGGAACUGAGACACGGUCCAGACUCCUACGGGAGGCAGCAGUGGGGAAUAGUGGACAAAGGGCGAAAGCCUGAUCCAGCCAUGCCGCGUGUGUGAAGAAGGUCUUCGGAUUGUAAAGCACUUUAAGUUGGGAGGAAGGGCAGUAAGUUAAUACCUUGCUGUUUUGACGGUACCAACAGAAUAAGCACCGGCUAACUUCGUG